GACGAACGCUGGCGGCGUGCUUAACACAUGCAAGUCGAACGGAAAGGCCUGCAGCUUGCUGCGGGUACUCGAGUGGCGAACGGGUGAGUAACACGUGGGUGAUCUGCCUUGCACUUCGGGAUAAGCUUGGGAAACUGGGUCUAAUACCGGAUAGGACAGCUGUUUAGUGUCAGUUGUGGAAAGUUUUUUCGGUGCAAGAUGAGCUCGCGGCCUAUCAGCUUGUUGGUGGGGUAAUGGCCUACCAAGGCGUCGACGGGUAGCCGGCCUGAGAGGGUGUACGGCCACAUUGGGACUGAGAUACGGCCCAGACUCCUACGGGAGGCAGCAGUGGGGAAUAUUGCACAAUGGGCGGAAGCCUGAUGCAGCGACGCCGCGUGGGGGAUGAAGGCCUUCGGGUUGUAAACUCCUUUCGACAGGGACGAAGCCUUUGUGACGGUACCUGUAUAAGAAGCACCGGCUAACUACGUG
rnacentral:rRNA from 1 species